UACGUAGGGCGCAAGCGUUGUCCGGAAUUAUUGGGCGUAAAGAGCUCGUAGGCGGUCUGUCACGUCGGCUGUGAAAGCCCGGGGCUCAACCCCGGGUCUGCAGUCGAUACGGGCAGACUAGAGUGCGGUAGGGGAGACUGGAAUUCCUGGUGUAGCGGUGAAAUGCGCAGAUAUCAGGAGGAACACCGGUGGCGAAGGCGGGUCUCUGGGCCGUAACUGACGCUGAGGAGCGAAAGCGUGGGGAGCGAACAGG
rnacentral:rRNA from 1 species